AAGCUCGUAGUUGAAUUUCGGGGUUAGUAGGUUGGUCAUGCCUCUGGUAUGUACUGGUCUCACUGAUUCCUCCUUCCUGAUGAACCGUAAUGCCAUUAAUUUGGUGUUGCGGGGAAUUUGGACUGUUACUUUGAAAAAAUUAGAGUGCUUAAAGCAAGCUAACGCUUGAAUACAUUAGCAUGGAAUAAUGAAAUAGGACGUUCGAUCCUAUUUUGUUGGUUUCUAGGAUUGACGUAAUGAUUAAUAGGGAUAGUUGGGGGCAUUAGUAUUCAAUUGUCAGAGGUGAAAUUCUUGGAUUUAUUGAAGACUAACUACUGCGAAAGCAUUUGCCAAGGAUGUUUUCAUUAAUCAAGAACGAAAGUUAGGGGAUCGAAGACGAUCAGAUACCGUCGUAGUCUUAACCAUAAACUAUGCCGACUAGGGAUUGGAUGAUGUUAAUUUUUUAAUGACUCAUUCGGCGCCUUACGGGAAACCAAAGUGUUUGGGUUCCGGGGGGAGUAUGGUCGCAAGGCUGAAACUUAAAGGAAUUGACGGAAGGGCACCACCAGGGGUGGAGCCUGCGGCUUAAUUUGACUCAACACGGGGAAACUCACCAGGUCCAGACAUAGUAAGGAUUGACAGAAUGAGAGCUCUUUCUUGAUUCUAUGGGUG
rnacentral:rRNA from 1 species